ACCUCGGUGGUGUAGUGGUAGCACGCGUCCCCGAUAUGGAUGAAACGCAGGUCCAACUCCCGUCUAAGGUU